UACGGAGGAUGCGAGCGUUAUCCGGAUUUAUUGGGUUUAAAGGGUGCGUAGGCGGUCCGUUAAGUCAGCGGUAAAAUUGCGGGGCUCAACCCCGUCGAGCCGUUGAAACUGUCAGACUUGAGUUGGCGAGAAGUACGCGGAAUGCGCGGUGUAGCGGUGAAAUGCAUAGAUAUCGCGCAGAACUCCGAUUGCGAAGGCAGCGUACCGGCGCCUCACUGACGCUGAGGCACGAAAGCGUGGGGAUCGAACAGG
rnacentral:rRNA from 1 species